CCUACGGGGCAGCAGUGGGGAAUUUUGGACAAUGGACGCAAGUCUGAUCCAGCAAUGCCGCGUGCAGGACGAAGGCCUUCGGGUUGUAAACUGCUUUUGUACGGAACGAAACGGUCUGCUUUAAUACAGUGGGCUAAUGACGGUACCGUAAGAAUAAGCACCGGCUAACUACGUGCCAGCAGCCGCGGUAAUACGUAGGGUGCGAGCGUUAAUCGGAAUUACUGGGCGUAAAGCGUGCGCAGGCGGUUAUAUAAGUCAGAUGUGAAAUCCCCGGGCUCAACCUGGGACCUGCAUUUGAGACUGUAUAGCUAGAGUACGGUAGAGGGGGAUGGAAUUCCGCGUGUAGCAGUGAAAUGCGUAGAUAUGCGGAGGAACACCGAUGGCGAAGGCAAUCCCCUGGACCUGUACUGACGCUCAUGCACGAAAGCGUGGGGAGCAAACAGGAUUAGAUACCCUGGUAGUCCACGCCCUAAACGAUGUCAACUGGUUGUUGGGUCUUCACUGACUCAGUAACGAAGCUAACGCGUGAAGUUGACCGCCUGGGGGAGGUACGGCCGCGAGUAGAACGUACAANAGAGUUAGACGGCGUGAGACGUGCCGACGGACGACGACGAGGGAGGAGG
rnacentral:rRNA from 1 species